UCCAGUAUAGAACCCUUUCAUUUCUUCUUCCUAAAUAGUACAGAACCCUAAUUUCUGAAUUUUCCCUAACCCUAAAACCAAUGGAAAAUCAUUCAUUGAUUUUUCAAGCCAUUCUCUUCCACUAAGCGUUCCAUCUCCAUCGACAUUCUGAAGCUUUGUUUUCAUCUCCAUUCGCCAAUUCCAUCUCCAUCUCCAUCUCCAUUGCCAUUCUCAAGGCAGAAAGUUGUGAAGGCUAAAUGUUGUGAAGUGAUUAUCCUACUGAUCAAGAACUUGUGGGUUACUACCUUAAACGCAAAAUUUGCAGCAAAACUAUUUGUUUUGAUGCUAUUUCAGAGACUGAUAUUUAUAAGUCUGAGCCUUGGGACUUUUACAAGGUUCUUAAUUCUCGUUACUCUUUCUGGGUUUUUCCUUUUAAUUUUGUUAAAUUGAAAUGGGUGGUAAACUGUAAUUGAAAAGUGGAACUUUUGUAAUAGUGGUUAAUUUUUCGUUUAAUUGUUGUUAUUAAUUGAUAAGUUGCAAUGUUCUGAUGAGUUUUGGGUGUUCAGUCUGUUGGUGAUGGUGGUAUGCUUAUGUGCACAGCCACAGAUAUGGCAGUAUUAUGUGGUGGUAAUGCAGAGGUUUGUUAUUCAAAAUAUGGUUCAAUUCCAUUAAGAGCUAAAUAUUGUCAUGAAAUGGCGUUGAGGAUUUUGCUUGCUAGCAUCGAGAUGCAGCUGCUAUGCAUUUGAAUAGAUUGGAAUCAAGCUCCACAAAAUGUUGUUGUCCUAAGUUUGAUGCAACUGCCGUGCCAUGAAUGUUAAGCCUCCACAUUCCAUGAUGUUGUUGUCUUACGUAUUGACUUGGAAUCAGGCUUAGCAAAAGUCGUCGACAAAAUGCUGCCGAUGAUGAUGUAGCUGAGCUACAGAGGUUGGCUUCAAGUUGUUGAUGCUGCUGACGAAAGAUUCUGUGACUGCUUGCUGCUGGGUUCUAGUCUCAAAAUGCUUUGCCUGCUUCCUUGUCGUGGCUAUGAUUACUUGGAUGCAUGCUGCUCUGUUUUGCAUUGCCUUGGACGUGCUUUUUGUGUCUGAGUGUAUUAGCUAUUAGGUGCCUUGGUAAUGAUGUAUAGGUUCACCAAACUUUGAUGUGUUUAGGCUAAAUGAUAGCUCAAUCUUUUUAGUUGUCGUGUACUCCCAAGCGUAUGAAGAGGGGUUUGUUUGUCCCAUCAGCUACGGUUGUGCUGUGGCUUCUAAGUCUUGUAUUGAUAUGACUUUUUUAUGGCAUUUUAUAAAAUUUACUUUGCCAAAAAAUAAAAAAAAAAAAAAUAAUAAUAAUAAUAACGACAACAACAAUAAUAAUAAUAUUUAAAAAUAGUUAA